rnacentral:rRNA from 1 species
UUACGGGAGGCAGCAGUGAGGAAUAUUGGUCAAUGGGCGGAAGCCUGAACCAGCCAUGCCGCGUGCAGGAAGACGGCCCUACGGGUUGUAAACUGCUUUUCCGGGGGAAGAAUAAGGGCGAUGCGUCGUCCGAUGCCGGUACCCCGGGAAUAAGGAUCGGCUAACUCCGUGCCAGCAGCCGCGGUAAUACGGAGGAUCCGAGCGUUAUCCGGAUUUACUGGGUUUAAAGGGUGCGUAGGCGGGCGCUUAAGUCAGCGGUGAAAUACGGGGGCUCAACCUUCGAACGGCCGUUGAUACUGGGCGCCUUGGAUUCGGUCGAGGCGGGCGGAAUGCGACAUGUAGCGGUGAAAUGCUUAGAUAUGUCGCAGAACGCCGAUUGCGAAGGCAGCUCGCCAGGCCGACAUUGACGCUGAGGCACGAAAGCGUGGGGAUCGAACAGGAUUAGAUACCCCGGUAC